GGUACGAUAGCCGAUAGGCGAGCUUUCGAUGCGUGCAUUGGAACUAGAAUGCUGAUCAAAAAAAGAAGAAACAAACGACAACGAACAGAAAUUUUGCAAAAUUUCUUUACAAAGUGAUGCAUUUUAUGCGUUUCUUACCGUAUUAUCUUAACUAUAAGGUUUUGAGAACGGUAACAGAUUUGCUAUCAAAACGUCCAGGUAACUUUUCUAUUCACAACGA